AAGUUUGAUGGCGACCGGCGCACGGGUGAGGUAACACGUAUCCAACCUGCCGAUGACUCGGGGAUAGCCUUUCGAAAGAAAGAUUAAUACCCGAUGGCAUAGUUCUUCCGCAUGGUAGAACUAUUAAAGAAUUUCGGUCAUCGAUGGGGAUGCGUUCCAUUAGGUUGUUGGCGGGGUAACGGCCCACCAAGCCUUCGAUGGAUAGGGGUUCUGAGAGGAAGGUCCCCCACAUUGGAACUGAGACACGGUCCAAACUCCUACGGGAGGCAGCAUG
rnacentral:rRNA from 1 species